AUUGGUUCCAAUUGUGUUAGGACUUUAACAUGAUCCUUUGAGAGCGGGUGGUCCUCUCCUCCACCGCCACCCCCAGGCUUUAGUGUUUUUUACAUUGCAAAGGUUUAGGUUGUCUUUUGUAACAGGAUGGAAAAAUUCAUGAGAGGUAACAAGCUUGUUGCCUCAGUCAUGAGACAAUGAGCUAACCCAAACUGAGUAUUAGAUUUAGGGCAGAAAAGAUGGCGCUCCCAUACACCUUAUUUCCAUCCUUUCUUUCCUAAAUAAUGCUUAAGGAAACCAUGCUAGGGUUAACACGGGAGGAGAGGAGGAACAACCAAGGUGAAUCCGCACUAGGCAGAGAGAAGAGAGUGCCUGCCUUCCGAAAAAAGGCUCCUUCACUGCGCGUGCGCCCGCUUCACGGCGGACACAGGCGCCUGUAAUAAUGUUCAUUGCUUACGUAGUAAACGUGCGUCAGCGGGCCGGACCCAGGACGCAUGCGCAGAAGCGCAGUGCCCAAAUGAUUCUGCAAGGCACUGACUUCUUAUGUGAACGGGAGUCAGAAAAACCAGAGAGCUCCAAACUAAGCUUCUGCACGGACAGAGCACGGGAGAAAAUGGAACUACAAUUGGAGGGGCUGCCGAGUUCAACCACUACAGAAGAUAACACUUUGAGGCGAUCCAGCAGCGCCCCUUUGAUCAGUGGCCUUGGAAGAACAACGAGGUACAGAAACCAUCUUCUGCAAACUGCACUGAUUUAAUUCCAGCAUCUGCAGCAGCUUCUCUCACCGAGGUGACUGGCAAGAAGAAGUCAAAGUGCCGCCAGUACUAUUAGAUCAAGUGUCCUUGGCCCAUUAAAAGGAAAAGGUACUUUUAUCUACCAACAGAAAUAAGUAUAACUUAUUAUUUUUGUAAGAUAUCAUAUAAAAUCAAGUAUUAUACAUAAAUUCAUUUAAAAGGAUUUAUUUAUUUAAAAUAUAUUUGA
rnacentral:lncRNA from 1 species